UUAGGCCACGAGCUCGGAGCUUCCUUGCUUCUAGAGCCCAAAAAGAAUUUGUUACUUAUUGAUGCGUAACCCAACAAAAACCCUCGCAAAUUGGACUUUUGAGAGGAAAGGAAAGAGACCAAAGAGCAGAGACAGUGAGACAGAGGAACAUGACUCUUUGGGUGGCCGAGAUGGUCUCACCGGUUGGGUCUCCUGUCGCUGACGAGCUCGCCACCUCCCUCAGAACCGGAGAUAUCGGCCCUUUCAAUGUCGGCUGAUAUUCCCCGAUCACUCCCUUCCUUAUGGUGGAGCCGAGCCGAUUGUCACAAUUACGAUUCGGCCCUUCGCCCUGAACAUAUGCGUAUGAGUCUAAGGUUUUGCGUCUGGAAGCCUCUAUCGACACCGACAGAAGCCUGAGGUUAGAUAGAGGUUUUGCAUCUGGAAGCCUUUAUCUAGCUUCAGUUAAUUUGAUUAUGAUGCAGCCCAUUUCAAGUUUUUGUUUUGCAGUUUUCUAAGGUUGAAUUGCUCCCAAAAGGCUUGGAGAUCGGGUUUCUUUCACAGAAGGGAAAUUGAUUCCCUUCUUCAAAACAACUGAAAUCUAAGGAAAUGCUUGAAUAUUUUAACAUAGCUGUUUAUUCUCACUGAAUUCAGAAGAAGAGGCAGAGAAUAGAAAGAAGCAAUCUGAUACAGUGCUUGACAGUCAAUCUAUAAGUGGCAGAGGGGCUCAAAUGCCUGUGGGUCGAGAUGUUCAGUCUUUUCGAGCUUUUGUGGCAACCUGGAAUGUAGGAGGGAAAUCUCCCCAUAGUGGCCUUAAUCUGGACGAUACUUCAGGUUAAUAAUCCAUCAAACAUAUCUGUCUUGGGCUGAUUUCGAUAAGAUUGGACAAGGUGGUUUUGGGGUUGUUUACUAUGCCAAGCUGACAAGCGAGGAUGAUACUAAAAUGGUGACAGUUUCUGGUGAUCAAACUGUUAAGGUAUGGGGUAUCAGGACCAAAGAGUUGUUGGUCUAGCGGUCAGGCCCUUGGUUUGCUCCCAAGUGGUCUGGGGUUCGAUCCUCUCCCAAGAUUCUGUAUGCAAGCAGGUCUGCCAUUACCCUGAUCCUGUAACAAGGUAAACAAAAUCUAUUGACCUAUUGCAAGAUGGAAAAGAUCAUUUGGUUAAAGCUUUCAUUUCAAAACCACAUUAUUUUGAAUCUCUAAUAUAGUUUGGGUCACUAUUUACCUUAGUGAAAGUGCAUGGGUCAGUAUUCUAUGGGGACUUAGAUAACAAAAAGCUUUAUUAAUUAGCUAUUUCUUAUUCCACUUUAUGCUAUUCUGAUUUGCGCAAAUUUUUAAGUUUUAAUGAAUUCUGUAGUUACUAUACUAGAGAAGCAUAGAGCUUGAAGAAUGGUUUGGGUUGUUUUACUUGGGACUUUUAGACGUUUUUGUCAUGUCAAUUGAGGCUCCUUACUACAUUUGAAAAAAAGAUGAAGAUCCUCCCCUUUCGACAUAAGUUCAAUAUAAAUUUCAUUUGCUUCUCUUUCUAAAUCUGUUUGUUCUUUUCUUUUCAGUUUUAACAUUGCACCAGACCUGAUGAAUCAAGCAAAAGAUUAUUUGAACAAAACUAUAUUUGUUAUAUUGUUGGCUAGAGUGAGUGUUUUAGAAUUUAAAAAAAAAAAAUGUAUCUUCUAAUGUUCCAAUUAUGUUUAUUCGACCCAAAAGUUGUGGUUGCACAGUUGUGUGCAGUCCCGCUUUAAGCUUGCAUAUCCUUUGAAUGCCGAUUUAGGAUGACCUGCUUUUGGAGUGUUGAAUCAUAUGAUUCUGUGUUCGUCCUAUCUCUGUUUCUUUGUUUGUACAUUUUGAAUGAGAACCUCUCCUAUCUGCUGCAAAGGAGAUAAUGUGUGCUGCACAUUGAUUUGCGAUAGUAAUUACAAGGAAUUUCUAAUCUGGAGAUCUUUAAAUUGAAUGAGAUCUUCAAAAGUGAAGCAUUACUUUUGGCAACAAAUAUUGGUCAAGAAAAGUUAACAUUAGAUUAGAAGUGCUACGGCAAGCAAACAAACCCGCAGCAUGUCGCGGGCUAUACUGCUAGUGUUUAUAUGAAAGCUGGAAAUGAGGACAAGGCUCUGGCAAUGCUAAAGAAGUCUGAGGAGCUGAUACCAAGUUCCGAAAGACAGAGGGAAGCAUACGAUCACUUAUGCCACAAUAUGCAGCACUAGGGAAGAAAGAUAAUGUUAUGAGACUAUGGAAACUUUACAAGGGUCAGAUGAAAGUAUACAGUAAGGGUUAUAGAAUCAUGAUAACCUCACUCUUGAAGAUGGGCGACAGUGAGAGUGCCGAGAAGAUCUUUGAAGAGUGGGAAUCUCAGCAGUCAGUUUAUGAUGUUCGUAUCCCACAUCAUUUGAUUGCUGCUUAUUCCUGAAAAGGUCUUCUUGACAAGGCUGAAGCUAUUAUUGCAAGGGUUAUACUGAAGGGUGCGAGACCUGAUGCAAAGUCAUGGUAUUCUUUGGCAAAAGUGCAUCCUGAUCAUGAUCAAACUGAAUAGGGAGUUGAGUUGACGAGAAAAGCCCUUUUGGCUGUGCAGCCUGGUUGGAAGACCAACAAGGAUGUUUUGGCUGCCUGUCUCAACUACUUGAUAGAAAGCUCCUCACCGAUAAGAAUAUUAUCACCGUGAUUACACAGGCGAGACUGUUGAAUAAGAUAAAUAAGGCGGAUUCGAACUCUGUAACACCAGGUGAAAUGGAAGGGGAUGGUCGAAAUGGAGAUGAAGAGGCAAGUGAGGUUUCAGAAGUGGAGGGGAGUCGACAAUGAAGUGUACUGCAACAUUGAGGAUUAAAUGGAUUUUCUGUUAAUAUAAACAGGUAACAGUUGAUGCCAAAUAACCUCAGUGAAGUUUAAUAGCCAUUGUAUUGAAUUACGCCCACUAGAGUUGCUUAGUUGUGAUAACUGUCAGCAAUGUAGUGUGUAUAUAAAAUCAUUUGUUUGUACAUAUGUCAAGUGCUUUUGCUACUCAUUUCAUCGAGUCAGAAGAAGAGUAAAAUGGAUAUGAAAGGCUAAGAAGUCCUGAUGUUGGUCCU